rnacentral:rRNA from 1 species
GACGAACGCUGGCGGCGUGCUUAACACAUGCAAGUCGAACAGAAAGGCCCUGCUUUUGUGGGGUGCUCGAGUGGCGAACGGGUGAGUAACACGUGAGUAACCUGCCCUUGACUUUGGGAUAACUUCAGGAAACUGGGGCUAAUACCGGAUAGGAGCUCCUGCUGCAUGGUGGGGGUUGGAAAGUUUCGGCGGUUGGGGAUGGACUCGCGGCUUAUCAGCUUGUUGGUGGGGUAGUGGCUUACCAAGGCUUUGACGGGUAGCCGGCCUGAGAGGGUGACCGGCCACAUUGGGACUGAGAUACGGCCCAGACUCCUACGGGAGGCAGCAGUGGGGAAUAUUGCACAACGGGCGGAAGCCUGAUGCAGCAACGCCGCGUGCGGGAUGACGGCCUUCGGGUUGUAAACCGCUUUCGCCUGUGACGAAGCGUGAGUGACGGUAAUGGGUAAAGAAGCACCGGCUAACUACGUG